rnacentral:rRNA from 1 species
UGCAAGUCGAACGAUACUCUUUAGCUUGCUAAGGAGGAAAGUGGCGCACGGGUGCGUAACGCGUAUGCAACCUACCUUAAUCAGGGGGAUAGCCCGAAGAAAUUCGGAUUAACACCGCAUAAAAUCACAGUACAGCAUUGUACAAUGAUCAAAUAUUUAUAGGAUUAAGAUGGGCAUGCGUGACAUUAGUUAGUUGGCGGGGUAACGGCCCACCAAGACCACGAUGUCUAGGGGAUCUGAGAGGAUGACCCCCCACACUGGUACUGAGACACGGACCAGACUCCUACGGGAGGCAGCAGUAAGGAAUAUUGGUCAAUGGAGGCAACUCUGAACCAGCCAUGCCGCGUGCAGGAAGACAGCCCUCUGGGUCGUAAACUGCUUUUAUUCGGGAAUAAACCUACUUACGUGUAAGUAGCUGAAUGUACCGAAGGAAUAAGGAUCGGCUAACUCCGUGCCAGCAGCCGCGGUAAUACGGAGGAUCCAAGCGUUAUCCGGAUUUAUUGGGUUUAAAGGGUGCGUAGGCGGCUUUUUAAGUCAGGGGUGAAAGACGGUGGCUCAACCAUCGCAGUGCCCUUGAUACUGAAGAGCUUGAAUGAAUUAGAGGUAGGCGGAAUGUGACAAGUAGCGGUGAAAUGCAUAGAUAUGUCACAGAACACCGAUUGCGAAGGCAGCUUACUAUGAUUUUAUUGACGCUGAGGCACGAAAGCGUGGGGAUCAAACAGGAUUAGAUACCCUGGUAGUCCACGCCCUAAACGAUGAAUACUCGCUGUUAGCGAUACACAGUUAGCGGCUAAGCGAAAGCGUUAAGUAUUCCACCUGGGGAGUACGGUCGCAAGAUUGAAACUCAAAGGAAUUGACGGGGGCCCGCACAAGCGGAGGAGCAUGUGGUUUAAUUCGAUGAUACGCGAGGAACCUUACCCGGGCUUGAAAGUUAGUGAAUCAUUUAGAGAUAGAUGAGUCCGCAAGGACACGAAACUAGGUGCUGCAUGGCUGUCGUCAGCUCGUGCCGUGAGGUGUUGGGUUAAGUCCCGCAACGAGCGCAACCCCUAUGUUUAGUUGCCAGCACGUUAAGGUGGGGACUCUAAACAGACUGCCUGUGCAAACAGAGAGGAAGGAGGGGACGACGUCAAGUCAUCAUGGCCCUUACGUCCGGGGCUACACACGUGCUACAAUGGAUGGUACAGAGGGCAGCAAGCUGGUAACAGCAAGCAAAUCUCCAAAAGCCAUUCACAGUUCGGAUAGAGGUCUGCAACUCGACCUCUUGAAGUUGGAUUCGCUAGUAAUCGUAUAUCAGCAAUGAUACGGUGAAUACGUUCCCGGGCCCUUGUACACACCGCCCGUCAAGCCAUG